ACGAACGCUGGCGGCGUGCUUAACACAUGCAAGUCGAACGGAAAGGCCCUGCUUGCAGGGUACUCGAGUGGCGAACGGGUGAGUAACACGUGGGUGAUCUGCCCUGCACUUCGGGAUAAGCCUGGGAAACUGGGUCUAAUACCGGAUAGGAGCCAUUUUUAGUGUGAUGGUUGGAAAGUUUUUUCGGUGUAGGAUGAGCUCGCGGCCUAUCAGCUUGUUGGUGGGGUAAUGGCCUACCAAGGCGGCGACGGGUAGCCGGCCUGAGAGGGUGGACGGCCACAUUGGGACUGAGAUACGGCCCAGACGCCUACGGGAGGCAGCAGUGGGGAAUAUUGCACAAUGGGCGCAAGCCUGAUGCAGCGACGCCGCGUGUGGGAUGACGGCCUUCGGGUUGUAAACUCCUUUCGCUAGGGACGAAGCUUUUUGUGACGGUACCUAGAGAAGAAGCACCGGCUAACUACGUG
rnacentral:rRNA from 1 species